AUAUAUGCAAGACAUAUGUGGACAUAGAUGCAAUAUAGCAAAAUGAAGAGUGUUGAGUAUAAGAGCCUCGAUCCACUGAGGACAUAAAACCAAGACACUUCCCCACAAGUCCUGCUUGGGUAAGUACUUCAAGUAACGAUCUUGUUUAUUUCUACAUGAAAUCUAAACGGAUGACAUACUCAGGAACUCAACUGAAGCCAUGAAGAUUUCACAGGCCAUCAUAUAUUCUGCCAACAAACUGGAAAACACGAAGUCAAUUGACCCGAUUAAUGUGUUGGAAAGAACCAAACUAAAGGAUCAAAAUUUUCUAGAGCUUAUGGCCCUCAGCUCCUGCAAUAUGACAGUGGUAAACUAGCUUUCCACAAGGCGGAUUUAUCUUUUAUAUAUUGUAAUGGCCCUGUCAAGUUCUAGGAGAUGUUAUUUGGCCAAUCAUGUAAAGGAGGCAGACACCCCCUAUGCUAACCCUCUCCACGUCAAAGAGAAAAAAGAAAAAAAAAAGGUUGGAGGAAAAACCUCCUACACCAACCUCGUGGGGGAAAGAAAAUAACAGAUGCUAAAAGUAGUAGAAAGAAUUACAACAAAAUUGCCACCUCUAAUAUUGGGAUUGCUUAUGUACAUAAAAGCAAAUGAUUCUCCUCUUCUCAGAUGGAUCCUUUAGCAAUAGUGAUGAAACUUCUAGUAAGACAGAAAUUCAGGCAAUUGAAUUUGACAAGAUUUCUAAUAUUAUGAAGCCAAUACAAUGCCUCCUCAAUUAACAAAUCUAAGAAAGUUUAGAUGGCAAACCUGUAAAGAUUAUCUAAUGAAGAAAAGAGCAAAGGCAAUAAAAAUUUAGCAAUUGAUUCCUUGCAAAUUAAAAACAAACAUGCCUCUAGCGCACCAUUUACACAGUAGCAAACAGAAACAAGCUCCACUGCCAGAGUACAUUAGGCCAAACAGAUGAAACUGAGCAUUCCAUUCUAACCUACCCAGCACUAAUUUUGAUUUUAGAUGUCAGUAAUGAAAAAAAAGCAACAGGUGUUGUUAGGUCUAUUUUCCCCUCUCGUUUAGCUUCUCCUUUUCUUUAGGCAAUGAACUAACUUUUCUAUUCUGUCUCAUUCCCAACUUUACUUCUAUCAUCUUCCCUCUCUCUCUCUCUCUCUUUCUCUCUGUUCUCAGGUUCAAGAGGGAGAACAUAGAUUUUGUUUUUCUAGGGGGUAUGGGGGGCAUGCAUAUGUAGGCAUUAGAUAUUGCCUGCACUGCAGUAUCACAAAAACGAGUGCUACCUUUGGGCGAUUGGCCUUGUGGCUUCACUUUAAUAUAGAUCAAGGUAUACUUGGAACUUGAAACUGUGUCUGCCUCUCCAACUGGCCUUGUGGCCUUGUUCUCUCUGACUUGUUGGAGCUAGGCUGGCGUAAUAGGACCAAACAAAAUAUGAUGGUAUAUUGACAAAACAAACUUUCUUGAUUGCGGACUAAUAUUAUCUCAAUAUUAACAAUAAAUAUGAUUCUAUUAUUCAAUUUCAACAUUUACAAUGCAAGGCAUGCCAAAUGAUGGAAAAGUUUGAUUAUGUGUGAAGGAAAACUGGAGUAAGAAUAGCAUUUGAUUCAUCGAGUCUCAAAAAUAAAAAGAAAUUGGUCUUCCAUUAUUGAGUGAUAAAUAAGAGUCCUGGAGAGUCAGAUUCUCCAUCACGAAAUGGAGCACCAAUACAUCUUCAUUGACCUCAUUUUCUGAAGAAGACAGAGUGAACUAGAUCUUGGGUAAUUCCAAGCAAUUGAACGCAUGCUUUGCGCCAUGACUUUCAUGUUUAUUGCUUCCAGCAACUAGAUUGAGUUGGCAAGUAUUAAAAAUUUCCUCAUCAAUUUUCUAGUCAGGCAGAUCAGAUAUAAAGCAUUACUAAGGUCAUACAUUUCAACCCUUGGUUCAAGCUUUAUCAAUAUGCAUAUAACCAAUCAAACGAUGGCUAAUAACUUCUGUUAUUGCCAGUUGCCUUUAAACAUUGCAAUUUGUAACUUAUUACACAAUAUCUAAGAAUGGCAAUAGGCAAUAGGUAAUAUACCAGCAAAAAUCACUCCCCAAAGCCAAUUAAUAAUUUCAAUUUCUGAACCCAUCUCAUACCUAAUUAAAAUUUAUCACAAACACUCCAUACUCGUCCCAAAACUCAACCAAUAUUAUCCGAACUCGUUUGGAUUUAAAUAUUUUAACUAAUAAUUUAUAUAAAAAAAUUUAUUAACCCUUUGUAUUUUAAAACUUCAAUAAUCCCAUAAAAUAUUAAAAUGCUAUUCAUUAAAAUAUAAUAUUCACAUUAUAAAUUUUAUAAUAAAAUUAUACAUUAUCUUUAGUUAACUAUUCAUAUAAUCAGGUCUAGAUAAUGGUACUCAACACAUAAAAAACUUAGACAGAGUAGUUGAAAGUACGCAACUCGUAUCAGGGAGCUUGGUCUAUUUAUAUUAGUGAACUUUACUCUCUGCUUCAUUUUCCAUUCUAUUGUGCCUAAAAUUUCUGCAUGUCCAUUUCAAGUGUUCAAAUACCUAUUACCUAAGACUGCAGUAACAUAACCAAGCAACCUAUAUUUACGGCUGGUAAUUGUUAAGCAUACACAUGAAAUUUCAUUGCAUGUGAUUUGUCCGUUCAUGCUACCUUUCCACUUUGUUAGAGACUCGGUUCAUAUCAUAUCUUUACAUACGCAUGGGGGAUCUCAUUGCCGAUUGCUUAGUACAGGAAAGGUAUUUGUAAAAUACCUGGAGAUCAUUCUGUUUUAGGUAUUCCCAAUUUCUCUACUAAGACAUCAGCCCGAGAUUAUGUAUUUCAUCAGUGUUAAAAAAAUUUACAAGAGCAUCUGAAAGCGAAAGGCGAGCAAGAAGACGGGGAGCUCCUUUCUUCUGCUGUUUUUAGUUCUGCUUUGGCUUAUCUGAACCUAAACAGUGUUGUUAUUAAAGUACCAUCACAAAAAGAUACCGAGGUGUUUUCAAAUUUCUUAUACAUGUGGGUCAUUCUGCUACCCAAAAUAUGAAAGAUCAAGUGGUAGAAAUUAAAUUUACCAAACCAGCAAGUUAAAAUAAUUAAGACUGAAAAGUAACUAUUCUCACCUUCUUCUCUUCCUUGCUUACACCUUCUUGCCUUUUGUAUAGAGUUGUCUGGAGCUGCAUGAUCAAGAUAGUACAGUUGUCUCGAGAAAAUUUUUCUACAUUUUUCAUUAAGACUUCAAGAAUAAAGGAAAACUCAUUCGGUGAAUGACUACAAAAUUCAUGAUCCGAUAUCAAAAAAAUAAGAAACUUUGCACCAAAUCCUUCAACAAAUAUUCUAUUGUAACUCAAAAUAAAGGUCAUUCAAACACAUACCAUCUUCCUCAUUUGCUGGCCAUAUGUGCUUGGGGUGCUUUACUCAUUUGAAAAUUAUUGAUAGAAUCAACAAAAAGAAAGUGUGCAGUGGUUUAUCACAUAUUAUAUUGUGCUUGUUCUUUUGGUCUUGUAAAGUUUUCUCCCGAAUAUAGGCCUAAAGCUUCUUUACAACCUAGAAGCAAAAUGGUAAGGAAACAAUAAGCAUAUAGCUUUUUAAUAUAUAUAUAUAUAUAUAUAUAUAUAUGUCGUCUCUGAGAAUUAAAAAAAAAAAAUCAUCCUACACAACCAGAACUGACACUCAGCUGAUACACCUCUGUUCUGGCCAAUUCAGGCACUCCAUUGAACUCUUGAAAUUAUGGAGAAAGAAUAUACAAUUUAGUAAAGCCACCUGGACUUUUCUUUUACAUCUUUAUCCACAUUAGUAGACCUACUUGAUAUGAAAGAAAAUUUAGUUUGGAAAUAUAUAAGCUGGGACAAACAUUUUUCAUAUUCAAAUUCAAAAAUCAUGACAAUGAUACCAUGCAUGAUGCAACCCUAGUGAUCCUUGAAAUAAAUACAAAGGUAGUGGUCAAUAAUAAUUUUCAGAACCUCAACCAAAACAUGUAAAAGAAUGGUUAAAUUACAAUUUGAUCCCAAGUUUUGGCAAAAGCCAUGACUAUUCCUUUGUUUUCAAUCUGAAUCAAUUUGAUCUCUCAGUUUUGAUUAUGUCAACAGUGUAGUCCUCCCAUUAAAAAGUAAAUGAAUUUUAUUUCAGUCAAAAUGAGACAAUAAUUUAAAAAAAAAAGUGUAGGGAAAAUUACAACUUGGCCCUUUAUAAAAAAUUAUAAGUCCUUUUAUUUUUAAUUUGAAACAAUUACAUCCCUCAAGUUUUACUCUGUCAACAAAUUAAUUCUUCAUUUUAAAUUAGAAAUUCAGGUUACUUUGGUCAUUUAACCUCUGACUAAUGGAAAUGUGUCCAAUAGAAUGGAGGGGACAUUUUGUUAAUAGAAUGAAACCUAAGAAUUGCAAUUAGUUCAAAUUAGAAAUAGGGAGCUAACCUAUGAGUUUUUAACAAAUUGAGGGGGCAAGUAGUAAUUUACUGAAAAGAAUUGAAACCAAAAUAUAGACAACAAAAUUAUGAUUAUAGGAGGGUGACAAAAAGCCAACAACCAAGUUAUUUUCAGUGAUGGUAGUUUUAUGUCAACACUGUGUACUUAACCAAACUAUAACUCCAAUGACACGGGUGAAUAGGGCAUCAACAACAGUUUUUCAUGUUCUGAUUGCUUGGGUUAAUACAACAAUUAAACACAUAUAACAUGCAAUUUCAAGGGAAUAUCUCAAAUGUAAAUAAUUAAGAAGAUUAGAUUAUACCGUAAUGAAACCCCCACAGUUUUGGAUCCUGCAACUUGUUCUCCGGGAUGUAGGCUCGAAGUUUCUUCACAACCUAUAACAAUAAUACAUAAAACAUAAGUGAAAGUAUGAUCCAGAAUCUCCAAACUAGACUGAAAAGGAUUCAUAUAAAGUAAAUGAUUUACAGGUAACUUCAGUUCCAGCUAAUUCAGGCAACCCAAUAAGCUUUUGCAGUUGUGAAGAUAGGCUACAUAGCUUUGCAAAGCCACCUCGCCUGUUCCUUCUUUUUAAGCCUUGAUCUAAGGGAUAAAUAGAUGAUCAAUAUUUAGCAUCAUCAAUAAGAGAAACCCAAAAGCGGGAGUGACUGGAAACUCCAAAUAUGUUCUCUUAUCCUCCUCCAUAUCACAGAUAAUUACAGAAAGAUAUCGGAAAGACCGAAAUUAGUGCUGCAGAAAAAGAUGCACAACAAAAAAUAUAAAACUGAAUCUUCGAUAUGCAUGAGAAAGAACAAGCAAAACACUAAAACAAAGAAACAAUUGCAUGAAAAACAUAAAGCUCUGCGAAGAAUGGUACUUAAAUCACAAACGACCAAUGUAUCUAAUUUGAUUUCCAGUUACCAAAUUUCCUUCAGAAAUUAAUCAUAAACAUUUCCUUAAUGGAUUAUUACUAAAUAAUAUAUAUUAUUCAAAUUGAAGUUUUCAUAUCUUGCAAACCAAAACAAAUGAUAACCCUCAGAAGAGAAAUUUAAGAAACUUGAAAUCACCGUUUUAUUUUAGUUCCCAGUUGCUCGCUCUCCUCUUCUUCCUCCUCUUCUCCUUCUCCUUCUCCUUCAACGGUGUCGUUUUGAUUGUCUUCCUCAUUCUGAUUCACAUUCUCUGCUACAUUUUCUUCUUCCUCUUCGUCCUUACGUUCCUUCUGUAGGAUUUUCGAGAUGAGCGCACCAAAUACGAGUGGUGUUGUGAAGGUUGUCCGUUUUGUUCUCUCCAAAAUAGCGUCGCAGUUUGUGGAACUAUGCAAAAUGUCUCCAAACGACAUCGUGUCCACACCCUAAGAGGCUAAGACUUGUUGUGGUA
rnacentral:lncRNA from 1 species